CUAAAUCAUCCCAGCCAGGGCUUUGUCAAGCUGGGCCUUAAAAACCUCUAAGGAAGGAGAUUCCACCACCUCCCUAGGUAACCCAUUCCAGUGCUUCACCACCCUCCUAGUGAAAUAGUGUUUCCUAAUAUCCAACCUAGACCUCUCCCACUGCAACUUGAGACCAUUGCUUCUUGUUCUGUCAUCUGCCACCACUGAGAACUGGUUCCUAUCUAUCCAGAUGCCUGUAUGUCAUCAGUGUCUGAGCACCUCACAGCCCCACAUGGAUUCAUUCGAUCAACGCUGAUAGAUAGGGCUGCAUUAUUCAUGUGGAAAACUAAGGCGCAGGGAGCAGAAGUGAAUGGAUGAUGAUUGUAUAGGGAUUCCGUGGCAGAUCUGGGAAUUAAACUCCGCUUCUGUGUGCCGAAGUCCAGUGCCUUAGCUACCAGGCCACUCCCCAGAACGUUGCGUGGGUGACACACCCAGAACUUCAGAGCUAUGUGUGCAAGUGUCACUCCCCAAAGAAGAGGAGGUCCCUUGUUUGCAGGGUUAUCGAUACAACUCUGGAUGAGGGAGAAACUAGAGCUGAGCCAAUAAUUGAUGUGUCGGUUUGGAGCCCAGCCCGAGAAAAUCCCCGAAGAAAUGUGGUUUGUGUCAAACCAAAACCUUUGUUUUUCACCAAAAUAAAAAGAAACAAACAGAACAACAUUUCAUUCAAUCUGAAAUGAGAUGGGCUUGGGGUUAGUUUUUGGGUGGUUUUCCCCCCUUUUUCUGUUGUUUAAAUAUAGCAGCUAAAUUUUCAAAUGAAACAUUUUGAAAUAAAAAAUCAAAACCUUUUGAUUUUGAAA